rnacentral:SRP_RNA from 1 species
UUUAAUUUUAAUUCUAUUUACUUUUAGUUAUCUGGUCAGGUUCGGAAGGAAGCAGCCAAAUUAAAAGAUAUAGGUUUUAUGAUUUCCCCU